UAUUGAGGGGAGGAGAACAAGGCUUGUGUAGUUAUUCAGUAACAUACAGCACUACUUUCAGUUCAUUCAAAUAAACAGUGUAGUGCAGUGCCUGUGUAUCAAAUGACAAAUGGGGGGCAGUGCCUCAUUUGCACAGAAUAUGACACUCAUUGACCUCAAGGUGAUGCUGUAGCAAUCAUGUUUACAUUUUUGCAAUUAUCUCAAAAAGGCUUGGUUAAGAGGCAAAAAUCUUUCAUGGUUUCAUUCUUUCAAUUCAUCUGCAUCUUAUUUUGAGAACUCAUCAGAAACUGUUGGGCUAAUCAUCCCGAAGCUUUGCCCCAAUCAUCUAUGGACAUCAAUGAUCUAAAGCAGUGGUUCGCACCCCAAAAGUGGGUCACGGAUCCAUUCUGAAUGGACCACAAGUGAGUCACGAACAUGUCAAGUUUGUAAAAAAACACACUUUAUUUUGAAGCACAGUUUUUCUUUUUUUUUUUAAUUGUGUAGAGUAAGUGAAAACAGGUGUAGAUAUAUAUAAACAGUUAAGAAAGAAGAUUACAUAAAGUGAGAAAGAGUCAUAAGAUAAAAAUAAAGAGCAACUAAAUACAUCAGAACAAAAUAAAACAAUAUUAAACAAACAAGGAAUAGAGCACAGGCUGAAAGUGAUGGGGGUGCAGGCGAAAACAAGUAUACUGCAAAGUGUGUUCAUGUGUGUGUGUGCAUGCGCAUCGGGGCCUAACUCCGCCAUGCGCGAUACAGAGAACAGAGGAGAAUUGUAAAGGCGCGACCAUGUAGAGACAGAAAUGACAUGCCGUUGUGUAAACGAUAUAACUCAUCACGUUAUAAGGUGAAAUGUUUCACCGUAUAACACGAUAAAUAGUAUAAUGUUAUGUUAUUAUAUGAAGUGUCUGUUGUGCAAAAUAAUAUAACUUUAGUUUAUGAAGAGAUAAGACAGAGCCCUCUCCUCUUAUAUGCUUUACUCACAAGUGUGUGAAUUGACCUGGUUAUGAAGCGUCCCUAGCGCCAAAUAAUAUAUAAUAUAAUAAAGAGCUAAGACGAAAAAAAUAAAAUAAAUCAGCAGCGUGGUGCACCGCUGCUAGUUGCAUAUAGGGGAAAUACUGAAAGAGAUGGUGGUUUCACUGAGCAAAUGCCUAUUUUCAGCACAUUUUAUGCUGUUGCAUUCAAAGCAAUAUCAGCCUAAUAAUUCCAGAAUGAUUAAUUCUCCCCAAGUAGAGCUACUGAAGUCCUCUGGUGGAAAAUAAUGCACCCUUAAAAAAAUAUAUAAAUUGCAAUAUAUAUUGCUGGGGGCUAAAAAACACGCAGUGUCAAUUUAUCCCAAUAUUGUGCAGCCUUAUUAACUACACACCCAUUUGUCUUGUAUAUUUUUUUUAAAUUUAAUUUAAUUUUAUAUACUUUAUUAAUCCCCGAGGGGAAAUUCAAUUUUUUCACUCUGUUUUUUUGUCAAUUACACACAGGUCCGAACACACACAUGCACAAACAGGACCUAUACAUGCACUAAGUGGAGAGAUGUCAGAGUGGGCUGCCCAUGACAGGCGCUCAGAGCGGUUGGGGGUCGGCAGUAGCUCAGCCCAUAGGGACUUGGGUUGGGAACCGGAGGGUCGCCUGUUCAAGUCCCCGUCCGGACCAAAAUAUGGAGCGUGGACUGGUAGCUGGAGAGGUGCCAGUUCACCUCGUGGGCACUGCCGAGGUGCCCUUGAGCAAGGCACCGAACCCCCCACCCGCUCAGGGUGCCUGACCAAGGGCAUCCCCCUCACUCUGACAUCUCUCCACUUUGUGCAUGUAUAGGUCCUGUUUGUGCAUGUGUGUGUCUUUCAGACCUGUGUGUAAUUGACAAGCAAGAGUGAAAACAUUGAAUUUUCCCUCAGGGGAUUAAUAAAGUAAAUAAAC